UACGAAGGGGGCGAGCGUUGUUCGGAAUCACUGGGCGUAAAGGGCGCGUAGGCGGCCACCGCAAGUCAGUUGUGAAAUCUCUGGGCUUAACCCAGAAAGGUCAACUGAUACUGCGGGGCUAGAGUGCAGAAGGGGCAACUGGAAUUCUCGGUGUAGCGGUGAAAUGCGUAGAUAUCGAGAGGAACACCUGCGGCGAAGGCGGGUUGCUGGGCUGACACUGACGCUGAGGCGCGAAAGCUAGGGGAGCGAACGGG
rnacentral:rRNA from 1 species